ACUACAGGAUCGGUGGGUGGCGCAGUAUCCUAGUCAGUGCCGCCGUUUCUGAAGACGGGCCUAAAAAUCCGUCAAGGGCACACCGAUGAAGUUCCUGGUGCUGGCUGCCGACGCCCAGUCGGGGGUUGGUGCUGGGAGUUAAGGAAGGGGGGCGAUCUACAAUGGCAUGUAGGCGUGGACCCUCCUUCCGCGGAGACCCAAGUGCGUGGGAAAGUCCCGGCGUGGACGACUACUAUGGCUUGGGGUAGAAACCUGCAGUCGGUACAGAGGGGUGCUGGCUGCAGUGUAGCCUGCCUUGAGCGGUCGUGGUGGAAACCGGCCCGGAAAAUCUCCGAGCUGCUGCCCGGCCCCGGUGCCCGGAGCUGCGGUAGUCCAGUGGAAACCACGGCUGCAAAAGAGGAUAGGGAACGGACGGUGCUGUCGAGGAAAACUCCUAGGCUGCUUACGUUCCGGUAAGGCCUGCCAGGGAUUAAAGUGUGUGCUAAGUGGUAAUCCAGUCCUGUACGCGGUGACGGUACGGGGCAACCUUUAAAGGGAAACCGCCGCUACGGCGACGUGCGGUAGGUUGCCGGGAAAUCCUACUGGACCUAAGCCACAGCCUUUACCUGGUAGGUUGCCACCCACCUGCCUAUCAAC
rnacentral:sRNA from 1 species